AGUAGCAAUACUAGAGACCGGCGCACGGGUGCGUAACGCGUAUGCAAUCUACCUUUUACAGAGGGAUAGCCCAGAGAAAUUUGGAUUAAUACCUCAUAGUAUUAUGGAAUGGCAUCAUUCUAUAAUUAAAGUCACAACGGUAAAAGAUGAGCAUGCGUCCCAUUAGCUAGUUGGUGUGGUAACGGCACACCAAGGCAACGAUGGGUAGGGGUCCUGAGAGGGAGAUCCCCCACACUGGUACUGAGACACGGACCAGACUCCUACGGGAGGCAGCAGUGAGGAAUAUUGGUCAAUGGGCGCAAGCCUGAACCAGCCAUGCCGCGUGCAGGAUGACGGUCCUAUGGAUUGUAAACUGCUUUUGUACAGGAAGAAACACUCCCUCGUGAGGGAGCUUGACGGUACUGUAAGAAUAAGGAUCGGCUAACUCCGUGCCAGCAGCCGCGGUAAUACGGAGGAUCCAAGCGUUAUCCGGAAUCAUUGGGUUUAAAGGGUCCGUAGGCGGGUUUAUAAGUCAGUGGUGAAAGCCCCUCGCUCAACGAUGGAACGGCCAUUGAUACUGUAGAUCUUGAAUUAUUAGGAAGUAACUAGAAUAUGUAGUGUAGCGGUGAAAUGCUUAGAGAUUACAUGGAAUACCAAUUGCGAAGGCAGGUUACUACUAAUGGAUUGACGCUGAUGGACGAAAGCGUGGGUAGCGAACAGGAUUAGAUACCCUGGUAGUCCACGCCGUAAACGAUGGAUACUAGCUGUUCGGAGCAAUCUGAGUG
rnacentral:rRNA from 1 species